rnacentral:tRNA from 1 species
GAUCCCAUAGUUAAAAGGAUAUAAUGGGGCCUUCCUAAGGCCUAGUUAGGGGUUCGAGUCCCUUUGGGAUCACCA